rnacentral:rRNA from 1 species
GAUGAACGCUGGCGGCGUGCCUAAUACAUGCAAGUCGAGCGAACAGACGAGGAGCUUGCUCCUCUGACGUUAGCGGCGGACGGGUGAGUAACACGUGGAUAACCUACCUAUAAGACUGGGUUAACUUCGGGAAACCGGAGCUAAUACCGGAUAAUAUAUUGAACCGCAUGGUUCAAUAGUGAAAGACGGUUUUGCUGUCACUUAUAGAUGGAUCCGCGCCGCAUUAGCUAGUUGGUAAGGUAACAGCUUACCAAGGCAACGAUGCGUAGCCGACCUGAGAGGGUGAUCGGCCACACUGGAACUGAGACACGGUCCAGACUCCUACGGGAGGCAGCAGUAGGGAAUCUUCCGCAAUGGGCGAAAGCCUGACGGAGCAACGCCGCGUGAGUGAUGAAGGUCUUCGGAUCGUAAAACUCUGUUAUUAGGGAAGAACAAAUGUGUAAGUAACUAUGCACGUCUUGACGGUACCUAAUCAGAAAGCCACGGCUAACUACGUG